rnacentral:snRNA from 1 species
AGCUUCAUGCAGUGGCAGUAUUGUAGCCAAUGAGCUUUAUCUGAGGUGCGAUUAUUGCUAAUUGAAAACUUUUCCCUUUGCAAGACACUAACUCCUUCAGGAACAGAAGUCUUGGGAGCUCCGCUCUAGGC